GAUGAACGCUGGCGGCGUGCCUAAUACAUGCAAGUCGAGCGAACAGACGAGGAGCUUGCUCCUCUGACGUUAGCGGAGGACGGGAGAGUAACACGUGGAUAACCCACCUAUAUGACUGGGAAAACUUCGGGAAACGGGCGCUAAUACCGGAUAAUCUCUUGAACCGCAUGGUUCAAUAGUAAAAGACGGUUUUGCUGUCACUUAUAGCUGGAUCCGGGCCGUAUUGGCUAGUUGGUAAGGUAACGGGUUACCAAGGGAACGAGGCGUGACCGACCUGAUAGAGUGGUCGGCCACCUGAGAACUUAGACACGCUCCUGACUCCUACGGUAGGCAGCAGUAUGGAAUCGUCCGCAAUGGUGGGAAGCCUGACGGAGCAGCGCCGCGUGAGUGAUGAAGGUCUUCGGAUCGUAAAACUCUGUUAUUAGGGAAGAACAAAUGUGUAAGUAGCUAUGCACGUCUUGACGGUACCUAAUCAGAAAGCCACGGCUAACUACGUG
rnacentral:rRNA from 1 species